AGUGGGGCAGAGGAUAAGCAGGCUGGAAGAGCCGACUCCUACGGCUGCGAUCCAAGAGGUGCCUGCAACAGUUGCCCCCCGACUUCUGUCGCCCCCAUGGAGGCAAACAAGUCUGGAACAGGGAAUGGGGGUCUGGGAGAGAAGAUGAAAAGACUGAGGAUCAGAGAGGUGAGCAGUAGCUUUCCCAAAGGCCCAGAGCCAAGAAGCGUUGAAGCUUAAAAGCACGCCGCGGCAGGGAAGAUCAAGCAAGCCCUGCGCCUAUCUGCAGACUCAACAUCAUCCACGUCAGGAACACGCUUUUGGAUGUGACCCCAUUCCAGCCCCCUAGAGCCAGCAGAGAAGGACCACCCACUUCCAGUGCGGCCAGGUCUGCAGUUCAGUCCUGGAGCCGGGGAAGGCUGUAUACGCUCCCUGAGAGAUGAAACAACCCCACACCUCUCGCCUCCCAUGCUGGCUCCAUUCUCAGUGCCUCAGACCAGAGCUGGGCCUGGUGAGGGGAUCUUGAAGGAGGAUGGGCCUGCCUGAGAGAGGAUAGAGGGGCAGAGUUUGGAACACACUGGCAGCUGGAACAGGGAGGCUCAAGGCAGGGGGAGAUGGUGGCCUCGUUGCCACAGAAGAGGCCUCGAGCCAUGCUGAGGGAGGCAGGUAGGGCAU
rnacentral:lncRNA from 1 species